AUUGAACGCUGGCGGCAGGCCUAACACAUGCAAGUCGAGCGGAUGAAGGGAGCUUGCUCCUGGAUUCAGCGGCGGACGGGUGAGUAAUGCCUAGGAAUCUGCCUGGUAGUGGGGGAUAACGUCCGGAAACGGGCGCUAAUACCGCAUACGUCCUGAGGGAGAAAGUGAGGGAUCUUCGGACCUCACGCUAUCAGAUGAGCCUAGGUCGGAUUAGCUAGUUGGUGGGGUAAAGGCCUACCAAGGCGACGAUCCGUAACUGGUCUGAGAGGAUGAUCAGUCACACUGGAACUGAGACACGGUCCAGACUCCUACGGGAGGCAGCAGUGGGGAAUAUUGGACAAUGGGCGAAAGCCUGAUCCAGCCAUGCCGCGUGUGUGAAGAAGGUCUUCGGAUUGUAAAGCACUUUAAGUUGGGAGGAAGAGCAGUAAGUUAAUACCUUGCUGUUUUGACGUUACCAACAGAAUAAGCACCGGCUAACUUCGUG
rnacentral:rRNA from 1 species